CCUGUCCUGGAACUCACUUUGGAGACCAGGCUGGCCUCAAACUCGCUGGGAUCCACCUGCUUCUGCCUCCUGAGUACUGAUACUAAAGGCGUGCGCCACCUCCGCCCGGCACAGUUGAACGUUUUAUCUCCUUAAACAAAGCCCCCACCCUCCCCUUAGGUUCUUGCCGUUGGUGACAUGAGGACAUGUGAAGAAGAUUCCCACAUAGGUAGGAGGGUAGGGGAACCAGAGACCCAGGUCUGCGUAUCUGUGCCUGAGAUGUUUGCGUGGAUGUCAGCUGUCCUGCGCUCAGGGCUCUGCCUGGAGUUCUCCCUGGAGGAGAUGUGGGGAGGGAGUGGGAGAGACCCCAGCGUGGAAAGUGUCUCCAGCUGCUAUAGAUGGCGCCGAGUCAAGCUGCACACGAGCCUCACACAGCACACAGGAACAAGAAAACGGCACCAAUUACAAGAGGACGCUGCAGAGGCUUAUGUACAUAUGUCCCAUGAGGCUGGCGUCGGGGUGCCACUUGCCCCAGAAUUCUUUGGAGCCGAGGAGCAGAAUCGUCCAAUGACAGCUUCUAUACUCAGCAAGCCAGACACAAAAGGGACACCUGAAAUGAAACGUGUUUUGAAAAU